rnacentral:lncRNA from 1 species
CUUCAUCAGGGUUACAUUUAAUGUUAUAAAACAUUAUUUAAAGCUGAGUGUGGUGGAUUGCACCUGUAAUUCCAGCUACUUGGGAGGCUGAACUGAGAGGAUCUCCUGAGGCCAGGAGUUUGAGAACAGACUGGGAAACAUAGCGAUACCCUAUCUGUAAAACAAAAGAGAGAGAGAGAAUAAGUGGGUAUGGUGGGACACCUGAAGUCCCAGCUACUAGGAAAUCUGAGGUGAGAGGCUUGCAUAAUCCCAGGAGGUUGGGGCUGCAGGGAGCUAUGAUCACUCCAUUGCACUACAGCCUGGGCAACAGAGUGACACUUUGUCUCUACAAUAAAGAAAUAAAACAUUAUAUAUAUCUAAUAUAUAAAAACAUUUUGACUGUAUCAAACUUUAUAUAAUAUAUAAAUUAAAUAUUAUUUUUUAGUUACCAAACAAAACAUCUGCAGGCUCAAGGGUUAGACUUUGCUAUCUGUUGAAAUACAUAGUGCCUUCAGCAAUGAUUUCAGAACAAAUGAAGAAAUCAUAAGCUUCUUCAGUUAGUGACUUCAUUCAAAGUUUAUAGGACAAUAUUAAAAUACAAUUUUGUAAACAUGAUUGAAAAAAUAUAGCUAAAGAUUUUUUUAUUCUGUUGAUAUUUUCAUAGAAACCAGAAUAUAGUCAAAUAAAGUUAUGCUCUCUAUCAUGGAUCUAAAGUAAAGGUAUCUUGUAAAAUUGUAUAAGAUUACAUUUAUAAGGAAAGGAAGUCAAGUAGUAGUUAGGAGAAAAAAACUUAUUGUGAGCAUUGACUAUCUUUCCAUAUAUAAGUUCCUGUGUUCUCUUCAAGGAGACAGGUGACAGAAGUACACAAACCUCCUUUAGAAGAAAUAUUUUUAUAUUAUCUAUAAAUUAAAUAAAAUCUGGUUUGAUAUGAAAACAAUGGCAUAUCAUAGGCUGUGACAGAGGAUCUGAAUAUUUUUCAGGGCAAAUGUUGCAGGUAUGAUGGAAAGGGCCACAAGCCAAGGAAUGAGGAUAGCCUUUAGAAGCAGAAAAGGAAAGGAAAUAGAUUCUCAUCUAGAGCCUCUACAAAGGAAUGAGCUCUGCUGACACCUUGACCUUAGCUAAUGAGGCCCAUUUUCUGGAGAAUUUGUGAUUUCCAAAACUGAAGACUAAAUUUGUCAAGGAAACGGCCAGGCAUGGUGGCUGAUGCCUGUAACCCCAGGACUUUGGGAAGCUAAGGCAGUAGGAUUGCUUGAGCCCAGAAGUUUGAGUCUGCAGUGAACUAUGACUCACCACUGCCUUCCAGCCUGGGUGACAGAGUGAGACCCUGUCUCAGGAAAAAAAAAUAAAAGCAACAGUUAUAUUUUCUAUACUUCUGUAAUUUUCUAUAUAAUUCUUUCUCAUCUGCUGGCAGUAUUAUGACUUUUAUGCAAAUCUGAUGUCUCUCAUUUUUUCUACCUGGCAUACUUUUAUUGUGUAUGAGUUUAAAUAAUAGUGUAUGUUUUUCUCUCAAAGUAUACAUUUUUGGGUUUUACACAAAAAUUUCUUUCAAUUACUGUAUUGUAUCACUUUAUUUUGUGGCAGUUUUUUAAAUUGUUUCUGUAGAGGACACUCAUAUAUAAACCAGUAUCCUUUGAUUUCCCAUCUUCUCACAUUCAGUAACACGUGCUUAUUCUAUUUAUUCUUGGAUUUUGAGUUGGUGAUUUAGCAAGCUAUCCUUUGCACGUACACUGAGAAUUAUUAUUUAAAUUAAUGUAGUCUCUCAAAAUGAAGAAAAUUAUACAUAGUGAUAUGAAUUUGUUUAUACUUUUUUCUGAAAUUUAACACAUUGUUUUAUAAUAUAAAUGUUGGCAUCCCACAAUAACCCUUAGUGAAGUUGUUGAUUCUUCAAUUAUAGUAUUUGGAAGCAGAAUGAAAAUGACCUGGAUGAAAAGAAAAAUAAACAGAUGUUCAUAUGAUGUUAGUUAGUUCCCCCCAAAAAAGGCUUCCUAGGAAAGUAUUUAACCCAGGGAAAUUAAAGUUAGAAGGUUUGAUCAAAGACCUAUCACUCCCUAUUGGAAAAAUGAAGAUUUGUUGCAUUGUCACUGGAGAGAAGACUGGAGGUAGUCACUCAGAGCUAAUUGUGUGUGCCGUAUUUAAUAAGGUUGGUGCCUAAUGGACUUCAUCACAGGGAAGUCUUUAUUGCCCAAGAGACCUUGACAUCAGAAACAUUAUUGGAAGGGUUUCUGUCUACACAUGUAGCCAGCUAUUUACCUGCCCAGAGUUAACCUAAGAUUUUUUUCAAAAGGUUGAUUGGUUCAGCCAUUACUUUGAUUUCCUGUCUCCUGUCACCUUUUGCAGUAAUCACAUAAGUAGUUUUUGUUGUUUUUUUUUGUUUUAGCAACCUGGAAUAAGAAAAUAGUUUUUCAUUUGUACUAAGAGGUGUUUUUCAUUAAACAACCUGAUCAAAGUUUCUAUUUUCAAUUUAUAUGCUAAUAAAGUAUACUUUAGAACUUAUAAACAUGCAUUACCCAGUGGGAUUUUAUUCCUGGAUCCAACAUAAUCUAUGGGGUCAGAGGAUCUCUUCAGAUUAAAAGAGUUAGAGGAAAGUGGUUGUCAAUUGAAAAGUAUGAGGCCAUAUGCACAAUGAGGUAGAGGAUUAGAGCAAUUAAUAAUAAAUUAAAGAAAGGUUAGAACAAAAUGCAGAUAGGGCAAACAUAACAUAUAUAUUUUUUGGCAUUAAUUAUCCAGAAUUCUUUAUUCUAAGAAUGUUUUAUAUCAUAUGAUUGGUGUAAGUGUUGCUUAUCUCUUGAAAAUUCUCUUACAUUUUUUGUUUCUAUUAUGUAUAUAUAACUUACUGUAAUGCAUAAUAGGUAUUACUUUGGUCAAAUUAAGUAAGUUUUGUAAAACCAGCUAUGUCUACAAUGAUUUUCUGAGAUGAUCUCUGAUUAUAAUCUCUGCUUUUGGUAGUGAACCUAAAGAAUUUCUGAAAUAUAGAGAACAGUGUUUGUUUUUAUGCGAGUGUUGUUCUCAGGAAAAUCUGAUGGGCUUGACAUGAGAAAUUGAUUAAAGGAAAACCAAUAGACAGGUCAAUAAAAUUUGUAUGAAGAAGCUUACAAUUGACAUUCUACCCAAAUAGGCAUAAUAUAGUUAUGGUUAAAUUAGACAUUUUAUUUAAAAAAUACUGUACAGUACAGAAAAAUAUCAGCAAUUGAUUGGAAUGCCAUCUGGUGAGACAUACAGAGACCUUGGGAAAGUAGAGACAGUGAGUUAGCAGAAGCUAUGAGUAAACUAAAGCCAUGAGCUAGAAGAAUUCAUAAGCAAACCAAAUUCAGAAACCAAAAGAUACAUAUAAUCAGGUCGCUGGAAUCUGUUGACAGCAGCAGAGGCUGGAGAAACAUAAACAGAAGUUGAAUGUCCCAAAUAAAGUUCUCCAGAUAAUUCCUGCUGAUAGAAUAGUCACGGGUAGCAGGAGCAGAUGAGUGAAAGACGUAGUAUAUCAUUGAAUUCUGUGAUUAGCAGCAAUUCAUAAAACUACUGUAUAUGUGGGUGCUUUGCAUGGAGAUUUUUCUUCUCAAUUUGAUACAUUUAUGGUUUUGAAAAUAAAAGUGCUUUCAGACACACAUGAAAGAUCAUCACUCAGGGUGGAUAAUCCACAUUUUAUUCUGGACCUUCUUUCAUUAGAUGAUUCUCACUCAAAAUUGAAGAUUUUUUUCCUAUGUAUUAUUAAACCAUCUGAUAAAAAACUUAUGCAUUCCCCUUCUAAUUUAUGCUGAAGUAGCUCAGUGAACUAAAGCCCUACACUGCCAUAUUAUUGUAUUAUUUACAGAGAUGUAUGGAGUAAAUCAGUGUGUGUGCAUAUGAUUGUGUGAGGCAUGCUGUUAUAAGCAAUCCUAGUGAUUCCUAAUUUAAAUUAUUUAUAUUAAAAUAUUUUCAAGACAUUCCUGUGAUAGACAUUCCUACUAUUCAGUAAUAUUCAAUUUAUUUCUUAUGGGCAGACAGAUAAAUUGUGAUGCGGUAGGGAAGUGCUGGGAAGGGAAGAGUAUGGUCCCUUUAAAUGAUACGGAAGGGGGAAGGGCGUGGUCUCUGGCUAGGGCUCCACCCCCGUAGACCUAGGUGAGGACAGGCAUUUUUGUUUUCCUGCCCAAAUGUUGCAUUUUCCCGAGACCACCCUGGCCUGCCGUGCCCCCUAUGAAAACCCAAGACCCUAGCAAGGCAGAGACGCAGGUGGCUGGACGUUGAGAGGUGCACACCAGCAGAGGAACACACGGGCAGCUGGAUGUUGAGAGGAACACUGACUGGCACGGGCACUCAGGUAGGCCAUUGACUGGCAGAAGCAGAACACGGUGGAGUUUGGCUGGGGCAGUCGGAGGAGAGCCCAGGCCGCUGAGCAGCCCGACGAAAACCUUCCCACUGGCUUCUGGCUUCCCCAAUCUGCUGAGUGCUACCUCCACUCAAUAAAACCUUGCACUCAUUCUCCAAGCCCAGGUGCGAUCCUAUUCUUCCGGUACACCAAGACAAGAACCCAGGUUACAGAAAGCCCUCUGUCCUUGUGACAAGGCAGAGAGUCUAAUUGAGCUGGUUAACAUAAGCCGCCUAUAGACGGCAAAACUAAAAGAGCACACGGUAGCACGUGCCCUCUGGGGCUUCAGCUAUAAACAUCCACUCUAGACACUGCCCUGGGGUCAGAGCCCCACAGCCUGCCGGCUGUAUGCCCCGCAAGAGGUUUGAACCUCUGUUGCUCCCCAAGAGGUGUGAGCAGCGGGGCACUGAAGAAGCCAGCUACUUCCCCUGUCGCACGCCUUGCGAGGGGGACAAGGCAACUUUUCCUGUUUCAGUUGCACCUAUCUACGUGAAGAGAGAUGUGGUCAAUGACUUUGACCUAAAGUUAUACAUAUCAAUUUUAGAUGGAAAUAUUUAAUUAUCAAAGAUCAACUCCAACUUGUUUUUUCUUCCUCGUCACGGACAUAGUGUUACAGGUUAGCAUAUAGGUAAAAUAUCCAGUACAUGAAGAAGAACUGUACUGUAUGGUUGCUCAGAACAUUCACUGGCUGCACAAAUGAGAAAUACAUCUCUGUUAUUUUAAGCAACUGAGAUUUUGGGGUUCUUUGCUAUCCUGAUGUAGUCUAAUCUAUCCUGACACAGCCCUAAAGGAAGGGAACCAUUACUAAAUUUUUUGAGUAUUAAAUACAGCAGCUUUUGUCAGGUGAGGUUUAUCUCCCAAAUGUUUUCUUACUUUAGGGAGGAAUUUCAAAAGAUAACAGAUUUAUGUUCUCUUUAUCAGACAAAAGUUGUUAAUGUCACAUUAUUUUAUAAGUAGUAAUAGUAAUUUAUAUUCUAGCCCUUCAGAACACUAUGUUAAAAUAAAAUAAUCUCAUUUGUAAUUCAGCAGAUUUUGUUUGCCUAAUGUUCAUGACUACGUAAAUAGAUUGCAUACUAUUUCUUGAAGAAUAUUAAAGUGUUAAUUUACAGAUGCAAGUUUAACACAUCAGAUGUGUAAAAUGUUUCCAUGCUUUACUCUGUUAUUUAACCUUUUAUUCUGUAUGAAUUUGUAAUAAUCUUAGCUGGAAAUGUUCAGUAAAUAAUUUUUGCUUCUUAUCAGUUCAAAUAUUUUAUACCCUUUGGAUAAUGGUAAGGUAGCUUCUUUAUCUCUCCUUCUGCAUCCACUUCUAUAACUACUUUGACCAAAAUAAAAGGAUAAUUAUAACUGUUUUACCUCUUUUGACAUUUAUUUGGUUCUGAUCAAAUGUGAUUAAAAGGAAAAUGUGGAGUAGUUUCUAAACGUUGCUCCAUCUACUAAGAACUGGCAUGUAGAAAAACAUAUGAGCAGAAACUGGGUUUCACCAUGUUGGCCAGGCUGGUCUGGAACUCCUGACCUCACCUAUUCGGGAGACUGAGGCGGUAGAAUCUCUUGAACAUGGGAGGCAGAGGUUGCAGUGAACUGAGAUGAAGUUACUGCACUUCAGGCUGGGCGACAGAGCGAGACUCUGUCUCAAAACAAAACAAAACAAAACAAAAAUAUAUGAGCACGUAUAAGUAGACAUAUGACUUGCUUUGACCAAUGAAAUAGAGCAAAGAUAAAGAUGUCCUCUUAGGCAGAAGGCAGACCAUAGAAUGAAGAGAAUGCAGAGCAUAGAAUGAAGAGAAUGCAGAACUGAUCCCACACUUGCCCUUUGAUGCAAGCAAGAAAUAAGCCCCUUUUUGCUUUAAGCCAUUACGUGCAAUGUGAGCAAGAAAUAAACCCUUCGUUCUUGAAUCCAUUGCAAUUUCGGAGUUAUUUCUUACCACAACUGUAUCCAGCCUCUCCGGACUACAUUAACUUUGCCCUAUUUCUGUUAGAAAUUGCCUCUUUGUGCCUUUUUUAAUAUUUAGGGAAAAAUACAUCUUUUUAUUAGUGAUUUGCUUUAGGCACUUAUUUUUCUUUCAUAUAUGUUCUAAUCAUAUUCCAUUUUUUUGUCUGCCUCAAUUUG